ACCCAUUUCUUACAAACCCCCCUCUCUCUCUCUCUCUCUCUCUCUCUUCACCGCCACACCCUCGCCUCUAGCAAAGCAAAACAGAGACACCACCGCCUCCAUCAGUGAAGCACGGUCUCUCACGUCGGAUCUCUGACCCGUGGUUUGAUCAUCCAUCCUCAUUUCUAACCUCAACCCCGCAUGCCUCCGGUCUCAGCCCGACGAAGACGAAGAUGGAGACAAAGGCAGAGAAAUACCGUCCUCCAUCUGAAUGAGAAAUAGAGGUCGGUGAAGAAGAAUACCGAUGGAUCUUCCCAAAGCUAAGUUUUUUUUCAAAAUUUUUUUUUCAAACAACGAAUGUUUGAAUGAUUACUUUACUGAACCAUCAAAAUCGAAAGAUUUUGUUCAAUGUUUUUGGGUUUUUUUUUUUUUGUUGUGAUGGACAUCCGUAUGAUUUCGAUUCCUUCUGUUGGGAUUAUUUUCUGUGAGAAAAUGAUCUAUCGGAUCAUACGCAUAUAAGCAUAUGUGGCUUUUAUUCUGUUGAGUUUUUAUUCAGUAUGGUUUUUAUUCACUGUUUGGUAAUUUGUUUUCCUGUUGCGUAUAUGCAUAUGAUGUAUAGAUUGAGCCGUUUGCUUUGUGUUCGCUAUGUGGUGGUUGGCCUUGUAUGGAAGCUCUGGUUUGGUAGCAGAGGAGCCCGUGUCAUGCCGUGUUUAAUCUAGGGCUCCAAACAUUGGGUUUGAGUUUCAUUUUCUGAAAGUUUUUAUUUUUGUUUGUUGAACUUCAAUUUCGAAUUCAAUCCUCUUUGUGUUUGGUUGUUUUUUACUCAUGCAUGUGUAUCACAAAUUUUUUACUCAUGCAUAUGCGUAUCAUGAACUUCAUUUUGAACUGAGAGGACAAGAAGCAGAAAUCAUACCUACGAAAUGCCCAAAUUAUCUCUCUCUGCACUUUUUAAAUUUAUGUAUUAUUUUCUUUAUGGAUUUGAUGAUAUGUUCUGUGAUUUUUGUUUGCAGGGGAAGGAGAAUAUUACUCCAAUUGGCUCAAAGAUCACAGAUCACAUGCGACAAGCUGGGGAUGUUUGUUUCUCCCAAGUCUUCCGUGAGAAUGGUAGGUUUUUAGUUUGAGGAUUGUGUUUAACAGUUUGUUGUGAUUGUAUCCGAACAUCUUGUGGUUUGGCCUUUUAUCUGUGGUGGGAAGUAAUAUAGUUUGGGUGAGAGUUAUUAUGUGCUCUUGUUUUUACUAUGGUGGGAAGAUUAGCCGCUAAACGAUAAAAAAAAAAUCCAUUCGUGUCACUAAUUUGGUUGCUUAUGGAAAAUCAUUGUUGCUAAUUUGGUUUCU